rnacentral:rRNA from 1 species
ACACGCAUGACACACUGCAUAUCAAUAAGCGGAGGAAAAGCAUAACAUGUAUACCUACGCUUAGGAUGUUGAGGAUGUAGCACAUCAUACACGCAUGACACACUGCAUAUCAAUAAGCGGAGGAAAAGAAACUAACAAGGAUUCCCUUAGUAACGGCGAGUGAAGCGGGAAGAGCUCAAAUUUGAAAUCUUCAAGGUUCUACCUUGACGAAUUGUAGUUUAUAGAAGUGUUUUCUGUUAGUGGAGUGGCAAAAGUUCUUUGGAAUAGGACAUCAUAGAGGGUGAGAAUCCCGUAUUUGACUAUUCUUUCUAGCUUUGUGAUACACUUUCAAAGAGUCGGAUUGUUUGGGAAUGCAAUCCAAAAUGGGUGGUAAAUUUCAUCUAAAGCUAAAUACUGGCGAGAGACCGAUAGCGAACAAGUACCGUGAGGGAAAGAUGAAAAGAACUUUGAAAAGAGAGUUAAACAGUACGUGAAAUUGUCAAAAGGGAAGCGUUUGACACCAGUGUUGUUUUUCCGAAAAUCAAUUACGAAUGUUUUAUUUUUGAGGAGUUAUGACUUCAUCGGCUUGCUCCUUUCUUUAUGAAACUUUCUUAAUGCACUUUUCGGUUAACAAGUCAACAUCAAUUUCUUUUGUUGUAAAAGGGUAUGAGGAAGGUGGCUUUCUUUUCGGAGAAAGUGUUUAUAGCCCUUGGCUUCUGCAAUCGGAGAGAUUGAGGUCUGCAGCGUAGAUCCUUCGGGGUUAGAUGCAUUUGUGCUAAGUUAUAGCCUUUCAUAGACAACUUGUUGACUAUGAUCAGUCAUGUAGCUUACUCGCUUAUGUCAUUUUACCUACGCUUAGGAUGUUGAUAGUCACAGCGUGUAC